rnacentral:rRNA from 1 species
AAUAGAUACCCUGGUAGUCCACGCCGUAAACGAUGAGUGCUAAGUGUUAGAGGGUUUCCGCCCUUUAGUGCUGCAGCUAACGCAUUAAGCACUCCGCCUGGGGAGUACGGUCGCAAGACUGAAACUCAAAGGAAUUGACGGGGGCCCGCACAAGCGGUGGAGCAUGUGGUUUAAUUCGAAGCAACGCGAAGAACCUUACCAGGUCUUGACAUCCCACUGACCGGUAUAGAGAUAUACCUUUCCCUUCGGGGACAGUGGUGACAGGUGGUGCAUGGUUGUCGUCAGCUCGUGUCGUGAGAUGUUGGGUUAAGUCCCGCAACGAGCGCAACCCUUGAUCUUAGUUGCCAGCAUUUAGUUGGGCACUCUAAGGUGACUGCCGGUGACAAACCGGAGGAAGGUGGGGAUGACGUCAAAUCAUCAUGCCCCUUAUGACCUGGGCUACACACGUGCUACAAUGGAUGGUACAAAGGGCUGCAAGACUGCGAAGUCAAGCCAAUCCCAUAAAACCAUU